rnacentral:rRNA from 1 species
ACAUGCUUACAACAUAGCUUUAAUGCAUUGGAUCCCAUUAGAAUUAUGUAGUUAAGCGUGCUCAAGCUAGAGUAAUAUUGGGAUGGGUGACCGCUCAGGAAGUCUUAGUAUUUUACAUGCC